rnacentral:rRNA from 1 species
UACGUAGGGUGCAAGCGUUAAUCGGAAUUACUGGGCGUAAAGCGUGCGCAGGCGGUUAUGCAAGACAGAUGUGAAAUCCCCGGGCUUAACCUGGGAACUGCAUUUGUGACUGCAUAGCUAGAGUACGGUAGAGGGGGAUGGAAUUCCGCGUGUAGCAGUGAAAUGCGUAGAUAUGCGGAGGAACACCGAUGGCGAAGGCAAUCCCCUGGACCUGUACUGACGCUCAUGCACGAAAGCGUGGGGAGCAAACAGG